CCAAUAGCGUAUAUUAAAGUUGUUGCAGUUAAAAAGCUCGUAGUUGAAUUUCGGGAUUGACCCAUCGGUCGUGCCUUAAGGGGUAUGAACUGGUGUAGUCAAUUUCUCACCUUCUGGAGAACCGCGAUGUCCUUAAUUGGGUGCCGCGAGGAACCAGGACCUUUACUUUGAAAAAAUUAGAGUGUUUAAAGCAGGCAUUUCUGCUUGAAUACAUUAGCAUGGAAUAAUAAAAUAGGACGGCAUGAUUCUAUUUUGUUGGUUUCUAGGAUCACCGUAAUGAUUAAUAGGGAUAGUUGGGGGCAUUAGUAUUCAAUUGUCAGAGGUGAAAUUCUUGGAUUUAUUGAAGACUAACUACUGCGAAAGCAUUUGCCAAGGAUGUUUUCAUUAAUCAAGAACGAAAGUUAGGGGAUCGAAGACGAUCAGAUACCGUCGUAGUCUUAACCAUAAACUAUGCCGACUAGGAAUCAGACGAUGUUAAUUUUUUAAUGACUCGUUUGGCACCUUACG
rnacentral:rRNA from 1 species